rnacentral:rRNA from 1 species
GGGGAUUACGACCGCAAGGUUGAAACUCAAAAGAAUUGACGGGGACCCGCACAAGCGGUGGAGCAUGUGGUUUAAUUCGAAGCAACGCGAAGAACCUUACCAGCUCUUGACAUCUUCUGACAACUCUAGAGAUAGAGCAUUCCCUUCGGGGACAGAAUGACAGGUGGUGCAUGGUUGUCGUCAGCUCGUGUCGUGAGAUGUUGGGUUAAGUCCCGUAACGAGCGCAACCCUUGUUGUUAGUUGCCAGCAUUAAGUUGGGCACUUUAACGAGACUGCC